CCUACGGGAGGCAGCAGUGGGGAAUUUUGGACAAUGGGCGAAAGCCUGAUCCAGCAAUGCCGCGUGCAGGAUGAAGGCCUUCGGGUUGUAAACUGCUUUUGUACGGAGCGAAAAGGCUUUCUCUAAUACAGGGGGCUCAUGACGGUACCGUAAGAAUAAGCACCGGCUAACUACGUGCCAGCAGCCGCGGUAAUACGUAGGGUGCGAGCGUUAAUCGGAAUUACUGGGCGUAAAGCGUGCGCAGGCGGUUCUAUAAGACAGGCGUGAAAUCCCCGGGCUCAACCUGGGAAUUGCGUUUGUGACUGUAGAGCUGGAGUACGGCAGAGGGGGAUGGAAUUCCGCGUGUAGCAGUGAAAUGCGUAGAUAUGCGGAGGAACACCGAUGGCGAAGGCAAUCCCCUGGGCCUGUACUGACGCUCAUGCACGAAAGCGUGGGGAGCAAACAGGAUUAGAUACCCUGGUAGUCCACGCCCUAAACGAUGUCAACUGGUUGUCGGGUCUUCACUGACUCAGUAACGAAGCUAACGCGUGAAGUUGACCGCCUGGGGAGUACGGCCGCAAGGUUGAAACUUAAAGGAAUUGACGG
rnacentral:rRNA from 1 species